CGACGAGACCCGCGGCCGAUCAGCGGCCUACUGUCAGGUGGAACUGAGGAGCCGAGGCCGCCGGCUUUGACUCAUUCAGACCUCGCGACUUCCGGCUAGCGAAGAGAGAGAAUGAAGUGCUUCCGCCUCGCACUUUCGCCAGGCGCGUGGGCAAUCAUGGCUCUAAUUCUCUGAAGAUUAAUUUUUAUCUACAAGAUAGGUCAGAAUUAUAGGGAAGUGAAGAAAAUAUAAAGGUGUCAGAGGAAAAUACUAGAGUCCACGGUUUUGUCGAAAGUGCAUGCUGGUGACGAGAGGGCAUGCCCUCCAAGCCGGAAGUGGAUGGGGCGGUGUCACGUGUUCCGCUUCGCUGGAGGAGGUGGACACUUGUCUUGGAAUCUUGGCUGGCGAACUCUCCUCCCUGCGCCCGGGGCUGGACUUCGCUAGGACGUGGAAGCCUCCACCUGGAUUGCGAGCUUUACUGGCAGUGUGGAAGGCUGGAGUGUAAUGGCAUGAUCUUGACUCACUGAAAACCUCUGCCUCCCAGGUUCAAGCGAUUCUCCUGCCUCAGCCUCCCGAGUAGCAGGCAUUACAGGUAUGCACCACCACACCCAGCUAAUGUUGUAUUUUUAGUAGAGACAGAGUUUCUCCAUGUUGGUCAGGCUGGCCUCGAACUCCCCACCUCAGGUUAUUCACCCGCCUUCGCCUCCCAAAGUGCUGGGAUUACAGGCCUGAGCCACCACACCCAACCACUUUUUAUUUUUUUUUAAGACAGAGUCUCACUCUGCCACCCAGGCUGGAGUGCAGUGGCAACAUGAUAGUUCCCUUUUGCCUUGAACUCCUUUGUCUCCAACUUUAGGUACACGCCACUGCAUCGAACUAAUUGUUUUUUAUUUGUUGUAGAGAUGAGGGAUCCCACUAUGUUGCCCAAGCUGGUCUCAAACUCCUGGGCUCAAGCAAUCCAUCUGCGUCAGCCUCCCAAAGGGCUGAGAUUAGCAGUGUGAGACACUACACCUGGUGGCUUUGUUAUUUUAAAAUAAAUAACUUUCUAGAAUGGAAGGGGCUUAAUGA
rnacentral:lncRNA from 1 species